UACAGAGGUCGCAAGCGUUGUUCGGAUUCAUUGGGCGUAAAGGGUGCGUAGGCGGCGCGGUAAGUCGGGUGUGAAAUCUUGGAGCUUAACUCCGAAACUGCAUUCGAUACUGCCGUGCUUGAGGACUGGAGAGGAGACUGGAAUUUACGGUGUGGCGGUGAAAUGCGUAGAUAUCGUAAGGAAGACCAGUGGCGAAGGCGGGUCUCUGGACAGUUCCUGACGCUGAGGCACGAAGGCCAGGGGAGCAAACGGG
rnacentral:rRNA from 1 species